AUGAAGAACGUAGCGAAAUGCGAUAAGUAAUGUGAAUUGCAGAAUUCAGUGAAUCAUCGAAUCUUUGAACGCACAUUGCGCCCGCCAGUAUUCUGGCGGGCAUGCCUGUUCGAGCGUCAUUUCAACCAUCAAGCCCCCGGCUUGUGUUGGGGACCUGCGGCUGCCGCAGGCCCUGAAAAGCAGUGGCGGGCUCGCUGUCACACCGAGCGUAGUAGCAUACAUCUCGCUCUGGGCGUGCUGCGGGUUCCGGCCGUUAAACCACCUUCAUAACCCAAGGUUGACCUCGGAUCAGGUAGGAAGACCCGCUGAACUUAAGCAUAUCAAUAAGCGGAGGA
rnacentral:misc_RNA from 1 species